AUGGCCAUCACCAUUGACAAGUACACCAUCCGCAUCCUUGUGCUGGCCCUGCUGUCUAUACACCUCUUGUCCUCUGCCACCGUCGCACACUGCGGAACCAUCACGGUCGGUGCGGAUGACGAGAAGAUCGAUCUGCCGAACGGGCUGUGCGGCAAGGAGAAGCUGUGCAGAGAGACACACUGCUACUGCUGCCUGUUAAACGACCGCUGUUACAGAACUAUGGAUGUGUGCAAGAGUCACUGCGACAACCCGCCAUCGUCUUCACAAGACAUGCUAGCGGCGGUGGCGGCGACGGCCACAGCGACAACCCCUGCUCCUUUACCCCCUGCGUAG
rnacentral:rRNA from 1 species